rnacentral:rRNA from 1 species
ACAUACACCGGAAAACCGUGGAGACAGGGUCCCCCUUGUGGUCGGUGUACAGGUGGUGCAUGGCUGUCGUCAGCUCGUGUCGUGAGAUGUUGGGUUAAGUCCCGCAACGAGCGCAACCCUUGUCCCGUGUUGCCAGCAGGCCCUUGUGGUGCUGGGGACUCACGGGAGACCGCCGGGGUCAACUCGGAGGAAGGUGGGGACGACGUCAAGUCAUCAUGCCCCUUAUGUCUUGGGCUGCACACGUGCUACAAUGGCCGGUACAAUGAGCUGCGAUACCGCGAGGUGGAGCGAAUCUCAAAAAAGCCGGUCUCAAGUUCGGAUUGGGGUCUGCAACUCGACCCCAUGAAGUCGGAGUCGCUAGUAAUCGCAGAUCAGCAUUGCUGCGGUGAAUACGUUCCCGGGCCUUGUACACACCGCCCGUCACGUCACGAAAGUCGGUAACACCUGAAGCCG